rnacentral:rRNA from 1 species
GUGAGGAAUAUUGGUCAAUGGGCGGGAGCCUGAACCAGCCAAGUCGCGUGAAGGAAGAAGGAUCUAUGGUUCGUAAACUUCUUUUGCAGGGGAAUAAAGUGCAGGACGUGUCCUGUUUUGUAUGUACCCUGAGAAUAAGGAUCGGCUAACUCCGUGCCAGCAGCCGCGGUAAUACGGAGGAUCCGAGCGUUAUCCGGAUUUAUUGGGUUUAAAGGGUGCGUAGGUGGAUUGAUAAGUCAGCGGUGAAAGUUUGCAGCUUAACUGUAAAAUUGCCGUUGAAACUGUCGGUCUUGAGUGCAAAUGAGGUAGGCGGAAUGUGUUGUGUAGCGGUGAAAUGCUUAGAUAUUACACAGAACACCGAUUGCGAAGGCAGCUUACUAAUCCAUCAUUGACGCUGAGGCACGAAAGCGUGGGGAUCAAACAGGAUUAGAAACCCGUGUAGUCC